rnacentral:lncRNA from 1 species
GGCCGCUGUCUGGGCUGCCUGUUGGGCCGCUCGCCGCCUCGCGAAGGCCUUGGCUUCCAAACUCCUGCGCGCGGUCAUCCUAGGGCCGCCUGGCUAGGGCAAGGGCACCGUGUGCCAGAGGAUCGCCCAGAACUUUGGCCUCCAGCAUCUCUCCAGUGGCCACUUCUUGCGGGAGAACCUCAAAGCCAACACGGAAGUUGGCGAAAUGGCAAGGCAGUACCUGGAGAAAGGUCUGUUGGUUCCAGAUCACGUGAUCACACGCCUUAUGGUGUCAGAGCUGGAGCUCAGGAGCGGCCAACACUGGCUACUGGAUGGUUUUCCAAGGACAAUAGUACAGGCUGA